GUUAUAUGGUCAAGCGAAUAAGCGCACACGGUGGAUGCCUUGGCGGUCAGAGGCGAUGAAGGACGUGGCAGCCUGCGAAAAGUGUCGGGGAGCUGGCAACAAGCUUUGAUCCGGCAAUGUCCGAAUGGGGAAACCCACUGCUUCGGCAGUAUCCUGCAGUGAAUUCAUAGCUGCUGGAAGCGAACCCGGUGAACUGAAAUAUCUAAGUAACCGGAGGAAAAGAAAUCAACCGAGAUUCCCUAAGUAGUGACGAGCGAACGGGGACUAGCCCUUAAGCUGGUAUGGUUUUAGAAAAACAACCUGGAAAGGUUGGCCAUAGAAGGUGAUAGCCCUGUAUUUAAAAGGGCCAUACCAGUGAAGACGAGUAGGGCGGGGCACGUGAAACCCUGUCUGAACAUGGGGGGACCAUCCUCCAAGGCUAAAUACUCCUGACCGACCGAUAGUGAACCAGUACCGUGAGGGAAAGGCGAAAAGAACCCCGGAGAGGGGAGUGAAAUAGAUCCUGAAACCGUGUGCGUACAAGCAGUAGGAGCUCGUAAGAGUGACUGCGUACCUUUUGUAUAAUGGGUCAGCGACUUACUGUUCGUGGCAAGCUUAACCGUAUAGGGGAGGCGAAGGGAAACCGAGUCUGAUAAGGGCGCAUAGUCGCGGGCAGUAGACCCGAAACCGGGUGAUCUAGUCAUGCCCAGGGUGAAGGUCAGGUAACACUGACUGGAGGCCCGAACCCACUCCCGUUGCAAAGGUAGGGGAUGAGGUGUGAUUAGGAGUGAAAAGCUAAUCGAACCCGGAGAUAGCUGGUUCUCCUCGAAAGCUAUUUAGGUAGCGCCUCAUAUGUAUCCUCUCGGGGGUAGAGCACUGUUAUGGCUAGGGGGUCAUCGCGACUUACCAAACCAUUGCAAACUCCGAAUACCGAGACGGACUGUAUGGGAGACACACGGCGGGUGCUAACGUCCGUCGUGAAAAGGGAAACAACCCAGACCCACAGCUAAGGUCCCAAAUUCACUGCUAAGUGGAAAACGAUGUGGAAAGGCAUAGACAGCCAGGAGGUUGGCUUAGAAGCAGCCACCCUUUAAAGAAAGCGUAAUAGCUCACUGGUCGAGUCGGUCUGCGCGGAAGAUUUAACGGGGCUAAGCAGUGAACCGAAGCUUGGGGUGCAUCGCGUUAAGCGAUGCGCGGUAGAGGAGCGUUCCGUAAGCCUGCGAAGGUGGAUUGAGAAGUCUGCUGGAGGUAUCGGAAGUGCGAAUGCUGACAUGAGUAACGAUAAUGCGGGUGAAAAACCCGCACGCCGAAAGCCCAAGGUUUCCUUGCGCAACGUUAAUCGGCGCAGGGUGAGUCGGCCCCUAAGGCGAGGGCGAAAGCCGUAGUCGAUGGGAAGCAGGUUAAUAUUCCUGCACCUCGCGUAAGUGCGAUGGAGGGACGGAGAAGGUUAGGUGUACCGGGCGUUGGUUGUCCCGGGGAAAGGCGGUAGGUUUGGAUCCUUGGCAAAUCCGGGGUCCUUUAAGACCGAGCACCGAGACGAGUCUUUGAGACGAAGUCACUGAUACCACGCUUCCAGGAAAAGCUCCUAAGCUUCAGCUUACGCAGACCGUACCGUAAACCGACACAGGUGGGUAGGAUGAGAAUUCUCAGGCGCUUGAGAGAACUCGGGUGAAGGAACUAGGCAACAUGGCACCGUAACUUCGGGAGAAGGUGCACCCUUUUUGGUGGCUCGUGCGAGCUAUAGCUGAAGAGGGUCGCAGAAACCAGGCCGCUGCGACUGUUUAUCAAAAACACAGCACUCUGCAAACACGAAAGUGGACGUAUAGGGUGUGACGCCUGCCCGGUGCUGGAAGGUUAAUUGAUGGGGUCAGCCGCAAGGCGAAGCUCUUGAUCGAAGCCCCAGUAAACGGCGGCCGUAACUAUAACGGUCCUAAGGUAGCGAAAUUCCUUGUCGGGUAAGUUCCGACCUGCACGAAUGGCGUAACGACAGCGGCGCUGUCUCCACCCGAGACUCAGUGAAAUUGAAAUCGCUGUGAAGAUGCAGCGUUCCCGUGGCAAGACGGAAAGACCCCGUGAACCUUUACUAUAGCUUUACACUGAACGUUGAGUUCGUCUGUGUAGGAUAGGUGGGAGGCUAUGAAACCAUGGCGCUAGCUGUGGUGGAGCCAUCCUUGAAAUACCACCCUGUCGUGCUUGACGUUCUAACCUAGGUCCGUAAUCCGGAUCGGGGACCGUGUAUGGUGGGUAGUUUGACUGGGGCGGUCUCCUCCUAAAGAGUAACGGAGGAGCACGAAGGUACGCUCAGCGCGGUCGGACAUCGCGCACUGUGUGCAAAGGCAUAAGCGUGCUUGACUGCAAGAUCGACGGAUCAAGCAGGUACGAAAGUAGGUCUUAGUGAUCCGGUGGUUCUGUAUGGAAGGGCCAUCGCUCAACGGAUAAAAGGUACUCCGGGGAUAACAGGCUGAUACCGCCCAAGAGUUCAUAUCGACGGCGGUGUUUGGCACCUCGAUGUCGGCUCAUCACAUCCUGGGGCUGUAGUCGGUCCCAAGGGUAUGGCUGUUCGCCAUUUAAAGUGGUACGCGAGCUGGGUUCAGAACGUCGUGAGACAGUUCGGUCCCUAUCUGCCAUGGGCGUUGGAGAUUUGAGAGGGGCUGCUCCUAGUACGAGAGGACCGGAGUGGACGAACCUCUGGUGUUCCGGUUGUCACGCCAGUGGCAUUGCCGGGUAGCUAUGUUCGGAAGCGAUAACCGCUGAAAGCAUCUAAGCGGGAAGCGCGCCUCAAGAUGAGAUCUCCCGGGACACAAGUCCCCUAAAGGAACCAUGUAGACUACGUGGUUGAUAGGUCAGGUGUGUAAGUGCAGCAAUGCAUUGAGCUAACUGAUACUAAUGAUCCGUGCGGCUUGACCAUAUAACCUCAAGG
rnacentral:rRNA from 1 species